UUUAUAUGAGAGUUUGAUCCUGGCUCAGGAUGAACGCUGGCGGCGUGCCUAAUACAUGCAAGUCGAACGAGUUCUGAUUAUUGAAAGGUGCUUGCAUCUUGAUUUAAUUUUGAACGAGUGGCGGACGGGUGAGUAACACGUGGGUAACCUGCCCUUAAGUGGGGGAUAACAUUUGGAAACAGAUGCUAAUACCGCAUAAAUCCAAGAACCGCAUGGUUCUUGGCUGAAAGAUGGCGUAAGCUAUCGCUUUUGGAUGGACCCGCGGCGUAUUAGCUAGUUGGUGAGGUAACGGCUCACCAAGGCAAUGAUACGUAGCCGAACUGAGAGGUUGAUCGGCCACAUUGGGACUGAGACACGGCCCAAACUCCUACGGGAGGCAGCAGUAGGGAAUCUUCCACAAUGGACGCAAGUCUGAUGGAGCAACGCCGCGUGAGUGAAGAAGGCUUUCGGGUCGUAAAACUCUGUUG
rnacentral:rRNA from 2 species